CUCCCACUACCUCACCUAACGUAUAUUAAUAUGAAAAAUACGACAAAAUUGCGAUGAAUUAAGGGCAAUAGAUGCAUCCGAAUGAAAAGAAUUUAUUAAAAAAUACAAUAUCAAAGUACAAGGGCAUCAUAAUAUGAAUAAACGCAUAUCCAAAAAGUUAUCGACCUAUACGUCGUUAUAUGUUAGCACACAAUAUCUGCGCAUGCGCUGCCUAAAUUCUCCGAUCAACAAUUUUAGCCUAACUGCAGGGACUGCUCAUUCCUUCCUUUCCUUUUAUUGAAGAGCCUGAACGCUUACGCGAAUAUUCCUUUUCUGCUUUCUUUUACUAUAAUUGCACAUACACGAGAUAUGAUCGAGUGACCGUUAUCGCGAAUCCGGAAUGUAUAUCAUCUACGCAACUAUGUCGGAAGUCCUGCUCAGGAUGCUCUGCUCGCAGCUAUUGCGUAAAUGAAUGACAUGCGCUGCAGUUGCUUUUGCAGGUUGAAUAUUUUGUUGUUCAUAAUACCAGCUAUAAUAGUCGAUUGUAUUACUAAAAAUGAAUUUUAUUAAGAUAUUAAAAAAUAAAAAAGAUCAAGAACAACUUGUCGAAAUCGAUCCUACUAAAGUGGAAAUAAUGCAACGUAAGAUGUAUAAUGGAAAAAGUG